rnacentral:lncRNA from 1 species
AGAUUUUAAAAUUAGCCGAAAGAAUUCAAAUAAUAGGAGAAUCCCCUAUAUUUAAUGAGCAGUUACAAAAGCAAUUUCAAAAUAUUAACAAUUGUAAUUGUAAUUUUUUUCUCUCGCAAUAUAAUAAUUCAGUCUUAGCAAUCUAGCAAUAUCAGAUUCGUAAAUGGAAAACUAAUUUCAAUUUCCAUUGAUGACUGGAAGCUUCUUCACGAGAGAAUUUUGUAGGCCAUGAGCAGAAAUGCUUGGAAAAGGUAUGGAGCCCAACAGCUUUCGUCCCCUUGAAAAUUGUUGAGAUAAGAAAAACUUGUCAUCAUCAUCUGCAGCUUCACAGUGAGAUGUGCAAAGUAGCAGCAGCACCCCAAGGAAAAGCAGAAGCAUCGUCCCUCUCAAUGCAGCCAUUUUUCCGAUCAAGAAGCAAUCAUAUAUUUUCUUUUAUUAUUUUCUGAUAUAAUCGUGUAAUGCUGCUUAUAUAUGAGAGGGAAGGGUGGAUUUUUACUAUAUUAAGGUAUCCAAGUUUGGACCGUCAGUAUCUCGGAUGGUUAGAAAUGAGCAGUUCAGGAACGCCAUCCAGUGACCUGUUAAACCCUAUAAUUUAGACCUUGGGGCUGUAAAUUGUGCCAAGUAACAGAAAUUCUAGUUGUUAAAAAGUUUCCCUACAUCGUGACUUCAUCACUUUUCAUAUUGAUACCUAUUUGAUAGCCAAUGGACAUUUUCACCAAGCCAAAACCAACAUCAAUCUAUCUACCUGGUCUUAUAAAAAUGGAGGAGCAUUUUUCUUUCUUUAAUCAAUUAUACCCUUAUCAACAAUUUCUAAUUAAUUAUUCGUCCUUCAAUUGAUACCAUCGAACCACUUGAUCUAAAAUCUACUAUUAGAAAUAACUAGAUGUAUAAAUUUUGAGAAUUCAUUUUUCCAUUAAAGUCUUCACGCAUAAAGUUUUCGAUAAAUGCGUAAUAACAAGACUUAAAUAUAUGAGAUAUACCAUGUUAAGAAUUAUGAAUUAAUAGAUUGAGACAAAACAAAUGAUUAAGUUGAGAAGAUGUAUAGUAUUUAUGUCUACGAAGCACAAUUGAGAAUGCAUAAAUAGUGUAAAACACUAAAACUAGCAUACGAGGAAAGAUUCUAUAUCGAUUCCAUAAUCAAAGUACUAUGGUAAUAAUCUAUGACAAUUAAAAUAUAUGACAAUAUCACGAAAAUAUGAAAAAUAUAAUUAGCAUCCCAUCAAACAACAAAAACACAUGCAUGCGAAUAAGGGUAGAUUAAAGACUAAUUGAAAUCAUGGUGCGUGCAUAAUAAUGUGCAAAUCACAACUUAAUUGAAAUGUAGAAAAUGCACAAAAAAAAUAAAAAAUAAAAAUAAUAAUAAUAAUAAUUGAGGGAGAUAAUAUAAAGCGUGUUGACUACUGGAAAAGGAUAAUAAGAGUUAUUAGCUACUUGAGAUAUUUUCGUAGCUAUGGACUGCACUAUAUCAGAUAUCCAACAUUCGUUGAAGGAUGUAAUGAUGCUAAUUAGAUAUUUUAUGUAAAAGACACAAAAUUUACAAGUGAAUAUGUGUUUACAUUAGGAGAUGCAGCUAUAUAAUCAAAAUCCUCUAAACAAUAGUUACAACUAGAUUUACCAUGGAAUCUAAGUUUAUAGCCUUGUAUAAACGUGGUGAAGAAGUUGAGUGGCUACAAAAGUUUUUAUAGGAUAUUCCAAGAUGGGCACAAAGCAACAUGUACGAUAAUAAGUCUAUACAUAUACAUCCUAUACAUAUACUACAGGGCAACUACUCUCCAUCGGGAUUAUCUCUAUAUACUAUGUUAGAUCAAAUGAUAACAUUAUGGAUUUGCUAAUCAAAUGGUUAAAUAGAGAAUUAGUUGGAAAGACAUCGAAAUGAAUUGGACAUAUGCCCUUGAGCAAAUGAGUUAAUACAAUGAAAAACCAACUUUGUUGAUUGAAGAUCUUGAGAUCUAGGUUAAAACAAACAAUUGACUUAAUUGAAUCACUAUGGGGGAUAAUAUACCUUGUCCAUCCCUAUGAUGUAAUAAUGAUACCCAUAAGGAUGAAGAAUAAGCAACAUGAUUUUAAUUAUACUUAUGCGUUGAAAAUCAAGCGAAGUAAUGUGGGUUAUUUAUAAUAAGAAAUCAAAUAUGAGAGAGAAGGUCCACUUCUAAGAGAAUUGUGUAAGGCUCAAUUUUUAGAAAGUCUCGCAAAACUAAGCAUAUGCUCAUGAUUAUAAACAAACAUAACAAUUAGAGCUAAAUUUUAUUGAGAAGAAUUCUAUGUGGAGUGUAACAUCAUUUAUGUAUAAAGUAGAACAAUUUAAAUGUCUACUGUUUAGUCAUAAUGGAAGAUUAAAAGGAUAAUGUCUACCUAGACCAUAUAGGUUUACACUAUUGAACUUUAUCAUCAAAUCAUUAUGUUUCUCGUUUCUAUGACUCAAUUUCUCCUGAUACAUUACUAAUUCUUUUGGCGUGGAUUUACAUGUUAAUCGAUCGAUAAGAGUAACUUUCCAUUUAACCAAAAAUUUGAUUUUGACCAUAUUUUUAAUAUUUUAAAAAAGGGCAAAAGAGUAACUUUCUAUUUAUCCCAUUAAAUAAUUACAUUUAUUAAAUUAAAAAUUAAAAAAUAAGAAAAAAACAAACCUGCAACUGCAUUCACGCUUGCGUUGGUGUCUGCAACUCCACCACCGGAAGAAAGGGGAAAUGAAUAUCUAGCACCAACUGCUAUAAAUUAUAAUCGCGGCCAUAUACCUAGGGUCUUGCUUAUUCUAUCCCAACCAAACUAAAGUGUCAGGCUUUGAGCUUUCGAAAAUAAUGUGGAAUGCUCCUUGUCCGAGAGAUUGAAAACCCUAACCGACCCAUUAGUAAAAAUCGAAGAAAAAACCCCCCACCACCUCCCCAAGCAAUAUGGGUGUUUGAAGGGUAGUACUGAGUCGGGUCGAAUUUCUCCAGGUUCCGGUGGAAUCAUCAAGCUGAAAAUGAGCUUUGUCGGUAGGUAUAGGUGUUCGAAGAAGAGUGUCGAGUUGAGUCAGAUCUCUCCAGACUCCAACGGAAUCAUCAAGCUGAAUGAUUUUCGACUCGAUUGUUGUACUGUUGGAGAAGACUGGCUAUGGCGAGGCGGUAAUUCUUGUCCUUGCAAAUGCUCCAAUUCAGUUUGAUGAUUCCACUAUCUAUGGCGAGGUGGGUGACAGUGGUUGGCGGCAAUAUGCUGAGGGAAGUUGAGUAUCUACAAAAAAACAAAAUUUUAACUUAUUAUUUAUUUUAAUGUAGUAAAUAGAAAUUUAUUAUUUUACCUUUGAAAAAUAUUAAAAAUAUGGUCAAAAUCAAAUUUCCUAGUCAACAAAUAAACGUUUGGAUGAAAACUGUCCAAAAGGGCCUCCGCCGUAACGUUUCAAAAGGUUUGAAGUAGCGAUUGCAACAAAUUAAAGAUUUAGAGUAAGUCUACUAAUGUUUUACAGAUUUGGGGCUUCUAAUGCAAUUGUUUCUUACAAAUAUGUAGUUAUUUCGUUUCGAGUAUCCCACUUAUAUAUUUUGUUUUUCUAUAUUGUUAAUUCUAUCAUCAAGUCAUAUUGCGUGAAACUCGACGCAAAACUUUAAAUAAGAC